UUAUAUAUAUUUCAAUUUAUUACACGAAAUGUUAACGGCUGUUUUUUGUCGGCCAAUCACGUCACGCCUCUCGUCUUUUCAAACUGCGGCGGAUCGCGCUCUUUUCACUCCGGCCUGGUUUGAGGGGAAUCGCGAUGCUUUGGACCGUUCCGUAAGUUACGGUAGAUAAUACUUGUUAAAAUGCGUAGUGCUGAAAAAAACGAUCAUAGAAAUAGUUAGCUAACAAAUAUGUUGCUAAUUAGUUGGAGAGUGGCGACGUGCGUCGAGCAGUGUAGCGUUAGUGAAGCGCACGACAAACUAAAAGAGUGCAUUAUAAGUGAAGGAUUUAACGUGGAGCGUUUGCUUUGCUGCAUCAGGACGUUGUCAAGAAUUUGAUUUGAUGUUGACAGAGAUGAAGGUUUGACCGAUUUCACGUCAAGCACAGGAGCCCUACCACAAAUGCUGGAGAGUGCCGUCAAAUCCAGUGAAGAUGAACAUCUAAGGGGACUCCCACAAUGGCUUGAGUACUAAUGCUGCUCGGAUAUGCUGUGUGUAUGGAAAGACUGAGGAGUUGAAAGCUGAUUCUACCCUGGAAAGGAGUAAUUUUCUCUUUUAGAGGGGAUGGAAGACCAAGCAGAUACUAUAUUAAAAAGUGCUACACAAUGAUGGUUGUUCUUGCAUAUCUUCUGCCACCGUUGCCUGGAAGUCGAUGCAAUGUUAAAUCUGAAAUUUCAUUUCUUUCAAUUUAAUUUUGUACCGCGUGGAGCCACUAUUGCAUCCCUCUGCAGCAGUUUUGAGACCGCAUCAAAGACCAGACCACAGCCGAUCUACAUUGGAAGUUUGAAGAGCACAACAUGACAGUACAUCAUUACGAGGAUUGACAGAGUAACCAUUCCUGUGGAUGAGGGCCUGAUGUGCUGUGGACAAUAUAUUCUAGGUGUGAAACUUGUCCUGUCCACCACAGAUUAGUUUGGUCUUUUCUUUCUAAGACUGGAGCAUCUAAUAUUGAAACACCACAUUCUCUUCUUUUUAAAACUGACAUCGUUUCGCUAGAAAACAACCUCUUCUUCAGCUGUGAUCGCGUACAGCCCGUUUAAACAUUUCAAAGACUUUUAAAACUGCAUUGAUUUGGACUUAAAAACGAUGGUAACCAAUGAACUCCAUUGUUAGAAGAAAAAUCCAGAAAUGUUUUCCUCAAAAAACAAAAUUUCUCUCCCACUGAGGAAAGAAAGACAUGGAUAUCUUGGAUGGCAUUGGGUGAGUAAAUUAUUAGGAAAUUUUCUUUUUGGGGUGAACUAAUCCUUUAAGCAUACAAUGAACACUCACAGUAGCUUUUAGUCAAUAUAAAGCGUUAUGUUAUCUUAUGUUAUGUUCUUACACUGCAGUAAGUAAUGCAUUCAUAAAGUGAUUCUCUAUUAAAGUUGUUUAAAUGUGAAAAACUUUGUUUAUUAAAGUUUAUUGCAAACGAA